AUGGGGGAGGUCGCGGCGGAGCUGUACACCCAGGAUGGCACCAUCGACAUCAAGGGCAACCCGGCCCUCAAGAGCAACACCGGCAACUGGCGAGCAUGCCCCUACAUCCUCGCGAACGAGUGCUGCGAGCGCCUUGCCUACUACGGCAUGAGCACCAACCUGGUCAACUUCAUGAAGGACCGGAUGGGCAUGGCCAACGCGGCGGCCGCCAACAACGUCACCAACUGGGGCGGCACCUGCUACAUCACCCCGCUCAUCGGCGCCUUCCUCGCCGACGCCUACCUCGGCCGCUUCUGGACCAUCGCCUCCUUCAUGAUCAUCUACAUCUUCGGCCUCGGCCUGCUCACCAUGGCCACCUCCGUGCACGGCCUCGUGCCCGCCUGCGCCUCCAAGGGCGUGUGCGACCCCACGCCGGGCCAGUCGGCGGCCGUCUUCAUCGCGCUCUACCUCAUCGCGCUCGGCACCGGCGGGAUCAAGCCCUGCGUCUCCUCCUUCGGGGCCGACCAGUUCGACGAGCACGACGACGUGGAGCGCAAGAGCAAGAGCUCCUUCUUCAACUGGUUCUACUUCUCCAUCAACAUCGGCGCGCUGGUGGCCUCGUCCGUGCUGGUGUACGUGCAGACGCAUGUGGGGUGGAGCUGGGGCUUCGGCAUCCCCGCCGUCGUCAUGGCCAUCGCCGUCGGCAGCUUCUUCGUCGGCACGCCGCUGUACCGCCACCAGCGCCCCGGCGGCAGCCCGCUCACCCGCAUCGCGCAGGUGCUCGUGGCCGCCACGCGCAAGCUCGGCGUCCCCGUCGACGGGUCGGCGCUGUACGAGACCGCGGACAGGGAGUCCGGCAUCGAGGGGAGCCGCAAGCUGGAGCACACGGGGCAGUUCAGGUUCCUCGACAAGGCGGCGGUGGAGACGCAGGCGGACAAGACGGCGGCCACCGGGCCGUCGCCGUGGCGGCUGUGCACGGUGACGCAGGUGGAGGAGCUCAAGAGCGUGGUGCGGCUGCUGCCCAUCUGGGCGAGCGGCAUCGUCUUCGCCACGGUGUACGGCCAGAUGAGCACCAUGUUCGUGCUACAGGGCAACACCCUGGACGCCUCCAUGGGUCCCAAGUUCAAGAUCCCCUCCGCCUCCCUCUCCAUCUUCGACACCCUCAGCGUCAUCGCCUGGGUGCCCGUCUACGACCGCAUCCUCGUCCCGGCAGUGCGCUCCGUCACCGGCCGGCCCCGCGGCUUCACCCAGCUCCAGCGCAUGGGCAUCGGCCUCGUGGUCUCCAUGUUCGCCAUGCUCACCGCCGGCGUGCUCGAGCUCGUCCGCCUCCGCACCAUCGCGCAGCGCGGCCUCUACGGGGAGAAGGACGUGGUGCCCAUCUCCAUCUUCUGGCAGGUGCCGCAGUACUUCAUCAUCGGCGCCGCCGAGGUGUUCACCUUCGUGGGCCAGCUCGAGUUCUUCUACGACCAGGCGCCCGACGCCAUGAGGAGCAUGUGCUCCGCGCUCUCGCUCACCACCGUCGCGCUCGGGAACUACCUCAGCACGCUGCUCGUCACCGUCGUGGCCAAGCUCACCACCAGGGGAGGCAAGCAGGGGUGGAUCCCCGACAACCUCAACGUCGGCCACCUCGACUACUUCUUCUGGCUGCUCGCCGCGCUCAGCCUCCUCAACUUCGCCGUCUACCUCCUCAUCGCCAGCUGGUACACCUACAAGAAGACCGCCGGAGAUGACCCGGACGCCAAAGCCAAAGGAGGAGCUGAUGAUGCACAUGACCAGUGA
rnacentral:rRNA from 1 species